rnacentral:tRNA from 1 species
GGGGUUGUGGCUCAAUGGUAGAGUGCUUACUUGGCAUGUGUGAGGCACUGGGUUUGAAGAAAAAAAAACACCUUCAGCCCCA